rnacentral:rRNA from 1 species
CGGCACGCCUAACACAUGCAAGUCGAACGAAGUAGCAAUACUUAGUGGCAGACGGGUGAGUAACAUGUGGGUAUCUACCCUUUGGCCUGGAAUAACACGAGGAAACUUGUGCUAAUACCGGAUAAGUCUUUACAGAGAAAGCUUUAUGCACCAUUGGAUGAGCCCGCAUUUGAUUAGUUUGUUGGUAGGGUAAUGGCCUACCAAGACUGUGAUCAAUAGCUGAUUUGAGAGGAUGAUCAGCCACAUUGGGACUGAGACACGGCCCAAACUCCUACGGGAGGCAGCAGUGGGGAAUCUUGCACAAUGGAGGAAACUCUGAUGCAGCGAUGCCGCGUGAGUGAAGAAGGCCCUUGGGUUGUAAAGCUCUUUCGUCGGGGAAGAAAAUGACUGUACCCGAAUAAGAAGGUCCGGCUAACUUCGUGCCAGCAGCCGCGGUAAUACGAAGGGACCUAGCGUAGUUCGGAAUUACUGGGCUUAAAGAGUUCGUAGGUGGUUGAAAAAGUUGGUGGUGAAAUCCCAGAGCUUAACUCUGGAACUGCCAUCAAAACUUUUCAGCUAGAGUUUGAUAGAGGAAAGCAGAAUUUCUAGUGUAGAGGUGAAAUUCGUAGAUAUUAGAAAGAAUACCAAUUGCGAAGGCAGCUUUCUGGAUCAUUACUGACACUGAGGAACGAAAGCAUGGGUAGCGAAGAGGAUUAGAUACCCUCGUAGUCCAUGCCGUAAACGAUGUGUGUUAGACGUUGGAAAUUUAUUUUCAGUGUCGCAGCGAAAGCGAUAAACACACCGCCUGGGGAGUACGACC